CUGGCCCUAUCAUGCAGCUGCCGUGUGACUGGCCGAACCUCUUACGUUGCCCAGGCAGUUUCCUUGUACGCGGAGGUGGCAAGAACCUCCCCACCGCUGGUGGGAAUUCUGUGGAAUCGUCGUUAAGAGGUAUGGGGCCCUGGACGAGGAGCCAGAGCCAAUGAGAGCUUCGGGUGUCACAGUGGUGGGAGAGACAGCAAACCAAAACCACAAGUCAUGCAUGCAGCAGAAGCAUGUUCAGAGGAGACAAUUUGACCUCCAGAUGUACCCAGAACCAAAAGACUGGGACAUGAAUGGAACUUGAACACUGGAACCCUUUUAGAAGCAAAGGGUUAGUUGGUUGUCCUAGGAUUUGGUGAUGAAGCCCCUUAUCAUAUCUUACCAUAAAUGGCCAAGGUCCAAAGCUCUUCAAUCAAAACCUGCCCCACAGCACUUCUGUAUACCUGCCUGUUCCCUGUUCCUCCAACCUCUUAAAACUUGCCCUGGACCAGAAGACAGAUUUGAGCCUUGUUUCCUGUCUAACCUUGCUGGUUGACUUUGCAAUAAAACAAACCUUGUAUUUUCUUAAAAGCAAACGUUGUAGUAUCGGCUUUUAUGUGCAUUGGGCAGUGAGUCCUUGCUUGGUGAUUGGGAGUAAUUUGUUAUCCAUGAACAGAUAAUAGAAAUUUGUAGACCUCCCAUCUUCAAACCCAUCAACUGUGUUGAUGUAGAAAUUGGGGCCUCCCAACCAACACGUCCCACCAUAAACUCAUUCUCUUUCCCUCAAACCUGCUUCUGUUUUGUCUCAAUCAUUGGCACCACCAACUGCAUGCGUAGUUGCCCAGAAUAUGGGAGUCAUCUUUUCUUCUCAUCCCCCCAAUAUAGUCUUUUUAUUCCUUUUAAAUAUCUCUUGAAUUUAUCUGAUUCUUUUUAUCCCUUCUACCUUGUAGUGCAGACCAUCACUUUUUCCCCUAAUAGUCUCCUGGGUUGUCUUCCUACCUCCAGUUUUGCAUCUUGUCCAUUCUCUGCCCUUCAGUUGGAAUGAUCUUUGUAAAGCUGAUUAUAUCAAACCUGAUCAUGCUUACAGUAAUUGCCAGUCAAAAUAGACAGUUCUUGUAAAGGAAUACUACAGGUAGUUACAAUAGAACUGAAUAUUAAAGGAAAGUAAUUAUCUUGAGCCAAAUAUGUAAAUUAGGUUUUAAGAAUUAAUAUGUACUGUGACAUCUGAGGAACAAAUCAAAGUAAUUAGAGUGUAUACUCCUAAUGGCCAUCAUUUAUUUUAGAUUGGGAAGUAUAUAGUUCAUUA